AAGGCUGUAAAUGGUGACCAAAA
rnacentral:snRNA from 1 species